AAGCAGCAUUGUUGCACUGCAAAUCAGGGGUGAGAAAAUAUCACUGCGCUGCAGUGACAUUUUAUCACCCCUGACUUGCAGUUUACGGCACCGUUUUUUAGCUCGACCUUUGAAACACUGUACAAUGCCCAGCGUUGCCAUUUUCUCUCAAGGUGGCGUUGCCGUAAUCCGCCCCCCUAGGUUUACCCUGACGGAAGCUAUCGAUCAAUGUUACUGUUCGUAACGACGUUGUGGGGCUCAGGGUGCAAGAGGGGGAGGAGAGUGGAGAGUUAACAUUUGAGGAGAGACUGCAACUAAAGAUUCGACAACGGACCAGUGGCGCAAGCAGACGUGCCCUCUCUCCCUCUCCCCUCUCGCAGCCCUGAGCAGUUGACAAAAUUAUAUACGUGUAACGGACCAGCACCACAAUAAACCUAAGCAAAAGGUAAUAUCACUUGUUUCCCUGCUCGUAUCCCUUGCCCAAAUGAGGCAUGCCAAAGAGACACAGAACAUAAAUAAUUUUGGAGUAUUAAUAGCCCGAAAACGAAUAAUAAUCACACGGGGGAGACACACGCCCCCGUUUCUAGGGCCCGCGAGCUCACCUAUCUCCAGCCGCGCGUUCCCCUGACGUAUAUACAAAAUUUUGUUCUUAAUUGUGGGCAUUCCAGGACUAAAUUUACACAGAAAGAAUGACAUUUUUGGCAUUUACGGUGCUGUAAACAUUUAGAUUGAGCCUUCAACAUAUGAGGUGGCAGGUACGGCCCUCUCGUCGAUAUGAGAACAUACCUGAAGUGUCUUAAAUAUUUUGAAAACAAAGCGAAACUCGAAUAGAAAAUAUUAAUUUUAAACUUAUUAUCAUUUGAUUGAUAAAUAAGGAAUGUUUAUGAUAUGCUUUUAUACAAAAGUUUUAAUUUAUAAUAUAUUAUUUUUAGUAUGAUGCGUCGAGGGCCUCGAGGUGCCGCCAAAAGUAGUGUGACUGCUGAGGCUGAAGCAAAAUCGGCUUUGUUAAAGGAUGAAACAUUAGACAUGGAGGCUAAGAAACAGACCGCUCAGCGCUGCGUGCUGUUUCUGGUGCACGCUUGCCACUGUAGAGACCCGCAGUGCUUACUGACGGAAUGCCAGACGAUGAAGAAAAUGGUGCUGCAUUCCAAGAUCUGCACAAGCAAAAUCUGCCUCUUGUGCAAGAAGUUUGUAAGCCUGUGUUGCUACCACGCUAAGCAUUGCCAGGAAACCAAUUGUCCUGUGCCCUUGUGCUCGACGGUCAAGCAGAAACUGACAGAGCAGCAGGACAUGUCGGCCACGCCGUCCGCCGCUGGCGCGUUCCAAGGCAAGAAGCACCAGGAAGUGCAGCUGCCUCACAACAACACUCGUCAAGGGGCCAAACACGAUACUCUCAAUGCACGUUUGUUUUUUAGUUACAUUUUUUUACAAACUAACGAAAUAACAUUAAUAGAGCAAAAAUCAUGGGUUGCAGGAUGGUUUUGGCGGUGUCGAGUUAAUCAGACAAAAUUCACAAUUAAAUCAUAAUAUAAUAUAGAUCAUUUUUGCGGGUUUUAUUGGACAUUUUUGGCAAUAACUAAUUAUGAGUUGGCACAAUUUAAUAGUCAAGGUGUGCGUUGAACUCGUCUUGUCAAGCCCGAUCGAAUGAUCCCCAAAUGUGAGGUUAUUGGUUAAGGUCACGGGUCAUCACGGGUCAUUUUCGACAAUUUACUGGUGUUUUUGCGAUUUUAAAAACAAGCACUAUUAUAGACUUUAAAAAUCCGGAAAUGGUCUCAGGGCACGAGUGAAGUUGUGUAAAAAUUUUAAAGUGUUUUCCGGCUUCGUUAUCAAAAAAUUCAAUAUAUUAAAUUAAAAAAAACAUGAUUUUUUAAUUUUUGCAAAUGUUGUGAUUGCCAAAUCUCGGGUCCUAAGGGUCACAAAUGCAAAAACUGCACACCGUUUGACUUCCUCUGGUAAGCUGAAUGGUUUUUGGGGGUUCUCUCCCUUGAAUUCUCAACCCCUAUUGGCCAUAAUUUCAUCCCGAGUGGAAAUUUUUAAAUUAUCGCGAUUUUUUGUACUUUUUUACCUGGAAAUUGAAAAUUUGACACUUUCCUGCUCUGAACAUUGUAUGAUUGAAAACAUUUUUGAAUGGGUAAGACGCAUUGCAUGUUUUAACAGCCAAAAUAUAUCGCUUCCAGAAAGAGAGAUUUACAAAAAUGAUACAUUAUAGAACCGAUGUGCUUGUUUAAUUUUAUUAAAUGAUUAAAAUUUAUUUAUUUUUAAAAUGCUUUCAUAGUUUAAAAUCAAAACUGAUCAGGAGCAGAAGAUGAUGGAGGCUGGUAAUCACCUGGCAGGUGCGGCCACAAUUGGUGCGAUUGGGACCGAUGCAGAAUCGGAUUCAAUCAAGGAAGCAAACCGGCGGAUCUUCGAGUGUCUGGAGCACGCUUCUCAGUGCACAAAUGAGAAAUGCAAACUGCUAGGGUGUAGGAGGAUGAACAUCGUGUUGCGGCACUUUAAGAAGUGCACGGCCACUUCAACCGGCUGCCAAAUUUGCAGAGAAUUUAUAACACUUUGUGCAAAUCACGCCGAGCAGUGCCUGCAGGAGGCCAACUGCCCCGUGUCUAUUUGCCCUGGAUUAAAGCUGAUGAAACGGCGGCAGCAAAAGUUUCUUGGGUGUUCCUAUAAUGGUUGCCGGUUUUGCAAAAAGCGGCGGAGUUUCCUUCAAGUUUCCUCCCAGCACGCCAAGAACUGUCAGCAGAAGAACUGUCCUGUGCGUUACUGCCCGUACUCCAAGCAAAAGUAACAGCAGCAACAAUGAAAAUAAACUCUUGAAUGAAUUUGUAUCUUAUGAUGACAUUUUUGGAUGCAGAUUGUUGGGACAGGUGCAUUUAUUGUGAUUUUCUCUAUUCUUUUAAGCGAUUCUCUAGUUUUAAUUUCCAACUAUGGUUAGCGUAAAAUAUUCCAAGUGCGACAAAACGUUUUUUCUAAUAAUAACAAGGUGGAAAAUACUUAGUUAUAUGUAUUGUGCUAUGCGAAUUUCUCUCCUGAGGUAUCCACGAAUUAACCCAAUUGACCCAGAAACAAACCAAAAAUUCUACGUAUUUUCAGCAAUAGUUCCUUCCACAGCAAAUAAAUGUAAAUAUUUCUAAAAUAAAAAUU